CAUGCAGGACUAGGCUCUUUGGAUACAGUUUGUGGGAAACACGGAGAGAAAAUUUUGGACUCAGUCAAAAAAAAAGUUGAUUUUGAUGUUUCUAGAUAUAUGUAAAACAAGAAAGCUGUAUGUCCAGCUCCAGACAUA